rnacentral:piRNA from 1 species
UAGGAUGAACCUUACCCUUCUAGGAUGCAA